UGUCGUGAGAUGUUGGGUUAAGUCCCGCAACGAGCGCAACCCUCGCCUCUAGUUGCCAGCAUUCGGUUGGGCACUCUAGAGGGACUGCCGGCGACAAGUCGGAGGAAGUGGGAUGACGUCAAAUCAUCAUGCCCCUUAUGACCUGGGCUACACACGUGCUACAAUGGGCGGUACAAAGGGCUGCGAACCCGCGAGGGGGAGCGAAUCCCAAAAAGCCGCUCUCAGUUCGGAUUGCAGGCUGCAACUCGCCUGCAUGAAGCCGGAAUCGCUAGUAAUCGCGGAUCAGCAUGCCGCGGUCGAAUACGUUCCCGGGCCUU
rnacentral:rRNA from 1 species